rnacentral:rRNA from 1 species
UUAAGCAUAUCAAUAAGCGGAGGAAAAGAAACUAACAAGGAUUCCCCUAGUAACUGCGAGUGAAGCGGGAAAAGCUCAAAUUUGAAAUCUGGCGGUUCUUGACCGUCCGAGUUGUAAUCUAGAGAAGUGUUACCUGUGCUGGACCGUGUACAAGUCUCCUGGAAUGGAGCAUCAUAGAGGGUGAGAAUCCCGUCUUUGACAUGGACUACCUGCACGUUAUGGUAUGCUCUCAAAGAGUCGAGUUGUUUGGGAAUGCAGCUCAAAAUGGGUGGUAAAUGCCAUCUAAAGCUAAAUAUUGGCGAGAGACCGAUAGCGAACAAGUACCGUGAGGGAAAGAUGAAAAGAACUUUGGAAAGAGAGUUAAACAGUACGUGAAAUUGCUGAAAGGGAAACGCUUGAAGUCAGUCGCGUUGACUAGAAAUCAGCCUUGCUUUUGCUUGGUGUACUUUCUGGCCGACGGGUCAGCAUCAGUUUUGAUCACUGGAUAAAGUCUUUGGGAACGUGGCAUUCUUUUUGGAUGUGUUAUAGCCCAUUGUCGCAUACAGUGGUUGGGAUUGAGGAACUCAGCACGCCCGCAAGGGCCAGGUUUUUUUACCAUGUUCGUGCUUAGGAUGCUGGCAUAAUGGCUUUAAUCGACCCGUCUUGAAACACGGACCAAGGAGUCUAACAUGCCUGCGAGU